UCAAAAUAAAACUUAAUUAUUAAAUAUACUAAACAUAUAAACUACAUUAAGAUUCUAAACCAAAUUUAUAUGAAAAUUAAUUAAAAAGAGAAACAAAACUUCUGACCAAUCAGAAACAUAUACAAGGAUAGCCUUUAUGAGCUGUUGGAUUAACCUAAAUCUAAGGGUGCAUAUUUACUCUUUUAUUUUAUUUUAUUUUAUUUUCUUCUCUCUCUGUGCCGACACCCACAGAUCUUCUUCUUCGUUCUCUCUUUUUUUUUUCUUUUGUAUGAAUCUGUUCCUGUUCUCUUCAUCUUCUUCUUUCUCUUCACUCUCAUUUCUCUAUCUCUCCCAUCUCUCUCCAGAUUGAAAGUUUACUAAUUUCUCUCAUGUUUUUUUUUUUUUAGAUUUGGUCAACAGAUAACAUAUGAAGAUGAUACUGGAGGUGACGAAGACUCGCUGGUGAAGAAGACUCGUCGGUGACGAACGCCGGAGCUCACCGGAGAUGAUGCACAUCGAAGAGUAACCGGGCGCAUGGAGAGGAACCAAUGUAAAUGAGGCAGAAGAAGAAGAUGUAUGGUAGUGGUGCUUAGGGAAGAAUGGUGUGCUAGAGGAGUUGAAGGAGCUCGACAGUGAAGAGUUAGUAGAAGAAGUGUGACAGAGGAGGACACAGAAGAAGCUUUCCGGAGCUAGUGGUGGAGGAACUGGUGGCGACCAUGCGGGAGGAGGAGGAGAGAGCGGCGGCCUAGGGUUAGGAUAGGUUUUUGGUUUAAUAGGUUUGGUUUAGUGUGUUUUGGUUUUUACUUAAUUUUAUUUUAGUCUGGUUAAGUUUUGUAAACCGGAUUCUAUUUGUAAACCAAUUUAAAUUAUAAAUAAAAUUUAAUAUAUUUU